rnacentral:rRNA from 1 species
UCGGGGCGGCCGCUCAUACCUAUUUGAAGGGAUAGGGUCGCGUUCGGCCGGGUUUCACACAGGUGUUGCAUGGCUGUCGUCAGCUCGUGUCGUGAGAUGUUGGGUUAAGUCCCGCAACGAGCGCAACCCUCAUCCUUAGUUACCAUCAGGUAAUGCUGGGGACUUUAAGGAAACUGCCAGUGAUAAACUGGAGGAAGGUGGGGAUGAUGUCAAGUCAUCAUGGCCCUUAUGGAGUGGGCUACACACGUGCUACAAUGGUGGCUACAAUGGGCUGCAAAGUCGCGAGGCUAAGCUAAUCCCUUAAAAGCCAUCUCAGUUCGAAUUGUACUCUGCAACUCGAGUGCAUGAAGUUGGAAUCGCUAGUAAUCGUGGAUCAGCACGCCACGGUGAAUACGUUCUCGGGUCUUGUACACACUGCCCGUCACGACCAUGG